CGUGCAGUCUAGAAGAGAAUCAUUGUGUCCGUCUCUAUUUAUUACUACAGAAUGAAGAACGUGAUAACUACUUGACAAGUUCCAUAACUAGAGACUUGGUUUGUCUGAGUGGAUGUACACUUUUCUCAAAGUAAUUCUGCGUAAACGGGCUUCAGGCAGUGCGGGUGCAGCAGAGAGACAAUUUGACGGUUGCAGUACUGUUUUGAAGCUGAAAUCUGAGGCCGGUAACAUCAAGUGAGGACAAACCCAGCCUGAUCUCUCCUUCUACACCGAGUCCAAACCUACAGUCACUGGGUCCUGAUUGUGACAGUGGAGUCCAGUUUGCACUGCAGGAUCCAGAGAUGGCAUCAGUGAAGCUGGAUGACUGCAGUCAAACACUGGAGCUGAAUGUCAACAUUAAAGAUGAAGAAGAGGAGGAGAAGAUUGGGACAUCUGUUUCUCAUGUGAGGACAAACCCAGCCUGCCUCUCUCCUUCCACACUGAGUCCAAACCUACAGUCACUGGGUCCUGAUUGUGACAGUGGAGCCCAGUUUGCACUGCAGGAUCCAGAGAUGGCAUCAGUGAAGCUGGA